CGGACGGGGGAGUAAUGUCUGGGAAGGCUGCCUGAUGGAGGGGGGUAACUACUGGAAACGGUAGCUAAUACCGCAUAACGUCGCAAGACCAAAGAGGGGGACCUUAGGGCCUCUUGCCAUCGGAUGUGCCCAGAUGGGAUUAGCUAGUAGGUGGGGUAACGGCUCACCUAGGCGACGAUCCCUAGCUGGUCUGAGAGGGUGACCAGCCACACUGGAACUGAGACACGGUCCAG
rnacentral:rRNA from 1 species